UCUUAUUUCACUUGUAACAGUACAGAGGGACAGGUAUCUGGUGAAGAUACUCCGUACAGCAGCGAGGAAAGCGAUAACCAGAAGCUAGUAUAAGCCUGAUUAUCCUAAACGGCAACAAUGGUUUGAGGUCAUACAAGAAAUAAGGGCAAUGGAAAGGUUGACUUUCGUGCUAGGUUUGAGAGAAGGUCCAGUAUAUAUGCCAAAAGAAGGCAGAAGAGGAC